CUGUAGCUCCUCCUCCCAGCCUCCUCUGUUGUACAUUGAACCAUUGAAGUUUGAAAAAUGGGGGUAAAGAAGAAUACCGAAGUUUUGAUACUUGAAAAAUGGUUUGUUAUCCGGGUGGCCCACCAAAUCGAUGACUAGGGGGAUCGGAGUGAUCAAGGCUUAAUCAAGACAUGGACUGACUGCCUGUUCCAUUCCCUCCCCAUGAAGUAGGAAGACAGCUAUACCCCAUUCUACUGGACAUUGAAGUGGAGACAGCUGCUUUGUCAUCAAGAUGGCGCCGUUGAUUUGGGAGCUAAUUGGAUUUUUGAAAAGCUGACUGGAUUUUUCAGGAUUUUAUUUUACUGGAUAAGAUGCAUCAAUUGGAAUUACAUCAAACUUUGACAUGGACUCUUGUGCUUUGGAUGUGCUGGCAAUUCUUUGGACUCAAUUGUUUGAAUAUUGUAAUGGUUUCCUUUACUGAGUUCAGUUACACUACCUUUUCUACUUCUGUGAUUUCCUAAUAGGAUGUUAUUUAUGUUAAAUAAAACAUUGCAAUUUUCACUUCUGAC
ensembl:lncRNA